CGCCGCUGGCGUUGUGCCGUGAGUUCUUGUCAUGAGACUGUGAAAUGACGCCGUUUCCAUGUCCUCGAGGCAUACUGCUGUUGUUUUUAAAUUGCCUAUUAUACACUGAAGGUGAGUAGGCCCCGACUCAGAACGACCAGAGACUCACCUGUCCUGAAUUCCACACAUGGGAAAUCACACAAAUGCAAACAGGAAGCAAGCAAACCUCAACAACAACGACUAGAUGAAACACAGAAAAACCAAAACAACUUUAACUGGAUCAAAAUGGAAACUAAAUGAUAAGAUGAUGGAAACAGACAUGUGCCACGACUUGGUUAACAUCACACAGAGGGCUGGGAGCCGAAUCUCGGUCUUCUGACUCAAG